UAACGUCACUGAAACAAUAACAGUAUGAUUAGUAAUUUUAGUUUGAUUCUAUUGUGUCUUUCCGGCGGCUAUUGCAUAUCGUCUAAGUUUGACAAUUUAGAUUUGAAUGAACUAAAAGACAUUUAUAACCGCCAAAACCCAACUAAGGAAUGGAACGAAGCUAUGAACCAGCAAAUAUUUUACGGCGUUAUCGACAGUACUAAAACUCCUGUUGACGUUAAGGACGCUGUAGACUAUUUUAUGCAAAUUGUUGACGACAGUACUGUGGAGGAAUUUGAAUCGAUCCGCAGCAUAAUCAAAUCAGCUUAUCAAUGUACUUUAAUGAGGUACGCUAGCAUAACCGCUUAUUUAAUAUUUCAGGAGCUGUGGGAGCACAAAUGCAACUUCAACUGGGCCUUAAAUCAUAUGAAACUAAAUUUUUCGAAUUUCGAUAUUAAUACAUUACAUAAAAAUGGACAUUUUAAAAAAAUAUAUGAUUCGAUACAGUGGGUCAGGAAUAUAAUAGACUUUGACAUUAAACUAGAAAUAGGCGUCCAUAAAAUAUUAGCAGUUCACCAAUUCGAUAGUAAGCCAAAGCAGGAUCUUCACAAAUUAUGGGCAGGAUUCAUCGAGAAGAAUAUCGGUUUUAAAAUCAAUUACAAAAUCUAUACUGAAGUGAUAAAAACGCGGUUUACAAACCAAUAUAACAUACCGUUUAUCGACGCUCUUAACGAACUCGCCUGUGUUCUAAAUGAGGUGAUUCAAUUGUUGGACAGUUUCAACGAAAACAAGUGUGUACCACACGACAGCAAUUUUGUAAAGAACUUCGAAUCCCUAACAACAGGAGUCCGCGGAGAUUUCAUGGGGCUUCUAGUGCAUUUUGAUGAAAUGAAGACCAAAGAGGCCACCUAUGAUGGGCAACAUCUACAACACAAUCGAGAAAGUACCGUACCUGUGCAAUACUUGGAGGGAAGAGACCUUAAUUCGGAAUUGUACAGAGAUUUUACAAAAUCGAUUCCGGGAAAACAGCCAGCGUAUUCCGAUAUUAGGGCUUCGGGUUGCUUCGUAGAAAAUUUGGAAUUUGAGAUUUCUGGUUUUAAAACGGAUUUUGAAAAUACUACCGAAGCAACGCACAUUUAUGGCUUUAACAGCUAUGGACGCGCAUCCGAAAUUAAAAUGAAACUUGUAGAAAACACCUAUUAUGAAGAAAAAAAGAAGGAAAGAAUAGGUAUGAUAUUGUUUCGCGAUAAAGAUAAACCGUUCAAUGAUCUCCCUGAAAGCUCCGCCCAUACUAUUCUAGACAACAUACCUACGUGUAAAAUAAAUUAACAAGUGUUGCAAAAAUAGUAAGCUACAGGAAAGUUCUGCAGUAAUUAAAAUAAUAAUAAAGACUCCAAAGACCAACACGGAGAAACUAGAAUCUGAUAUCAAAAAUUUACAAUAAC